CCCUUAGAGUUUGAUCCUGGCUCAGAUUGAACGCUGGCGGCAUGCCUUACACAUGCAAGUCGAGCGGCAGCGCGGGGGCAACCCUGGCGGCGAGCGGCGAACGGGUGAGUAAUGCAUCGGAACGUGUCCUCCUGUGGGGGAUAACCAGUCGAAAGAUUGGCUAAUACCGCAUGAGAUCGCGAGAUGAAAGCAGGGGACCGCAAGGCCUUGCGCGAGAGGAGCGGCCGAUGCCGGAUUAGCUAGUUGGUGGGGUAAUGGCCCACCAAGGCGACGAUCCGUAGCUGGUCUGAGAGGACGACCAGCCACACUGGGACUGAGACACGGUCCAGACUCCUACGGGAGGCAGCAGUGGGGAAUAUUGGACAAUGGGCGCAAGCCUGAUCCAGCCAUGCCGCGUGUGUGAAGAAGGCCUUAGGGUUGUAAAGCACUUUCAGUGGGGAGAAAGGUCAUUCACCUAAUACGUGAGUGAAUUGAUGUUACCCACAGAAGAAGCACCGGCUAACUCCGUGCCAGCAGCCGCGGUAAUACGGAGGGUGCAAGCGUUAAUCGGAAUUACUGGGCGUAAAGCGCACGUAGGUGGUUUGUUAAGCCAGCUGUGAAAUCCCCGGGCUCAACCUGGGCACUGCAGUUGGAACUGGCAAGCUAGAGUAGGGUAGAGGGGUGUGGAAUUCCAGGUGUA
rnacentral:rRNA from 1 species